GGGCAUCUUCUUGGAUUUAGCUUUUUCCAUGGAUUCCCAAUGACACCCAAAUUUUACAAGGUAUGUUUUAACGUCUUCCUGCAUUCUGGGUCUUUUUGCUUUUCUUGUUUCAAUCUUCCUUUCUCUCCUUGUUUUAUUUUGCUAACAUAGGCAAAACCUUAUCAAGCUUGUAUAUUUCUGAUAUUUUAUUAUUGUUUUGAACAGGACCACAACCCACUGUUAAGGAAAAGAUUAAUGCGGCCUGAUGGUACUUGAAUGUUUCUAACUUGCUAAAUGCUUGUUUAAUUAACUAUGUCAAUGGUGCUUCUAGUUUUGAGAUGCUUUCUUUUGUUUUUGCCCCCUUGAUCUACUCAUCGUCUAGGUAGUCAUGUUUUGGUUGUGUAAUAUUAAUUAAUUGUUUUAUAUAAAUUUUGAUGUCAGUUGUUAAAUCUCCAUUAAUGAAAGUCUUAGCACAGUUGGUAAGAGAGGAGGUUUGAGUUUUAAGUAUCUAGAUUCAAAAUUCAGUAUAUAGGGUAUCUGAAUCCCACUAUGAGUUGCAAGUUUUAGUUCAAUUACUCAGUUGUAAUUUAGAUUAUUCCAGUUUUUAGUUUGUUUGUGCUGCACUGUAAAAAUUUGAUUCUAAACUUUGUGAUUAUUAAGACAUAUUUGUAUUGGUAUCGUUGUGAUUUUAAAAAAAUUGGUUAAAUCUAAUACGGUAUACUUGUGUGUCAGUGAGGCUUAGAUUUAAACAUGAUUCUUCAAAUGUUGGUUUCAUGGUAUUGUUUCUUGAUGUGCCCAUUCUUUAUGCUAUGGCAUUUAAAGAGAUACUAUUCUUCUUCCCUCAAUAAUUUGCUGUUUAUUCACUAACUGCAUGCAAACCUAGUUUAAGAAGCAGCUAUUUGGAUGAAGUGACACCAUGUGUUUUAUGAUAUAAAUAGCAUCAUGCAUCAUGGGAUACAACUUGUAAGACAUUAGUAUCAUCUGAAUUUCACAUAUUAACAUAAGCAUAACUGGGCAGAUAUGGAAAAAAGUUCUGAUUCAACUUUCUAUUAGUAUAAGAUCUAAAGGGAUACUUGAAGAAGCUACAAAGCAACUCUAACAUCAAAUUAAUUUUACUGGAAAUCAUAUGUAUAUAUAUUUUACUUUUUGUAUACUCGUGUAAAAAUAGAUUUAAUUAUUUUAUUUAUUUCAAUAAAAUUAAGUAAAUGUGUUUAUUGGGAAUAGAAUUUCAUUUUUCUUUUUUACUAUGUAAUGAUUAGGAAUGUGGGAUAUAUAUAUGAAUAGAUUCAAAGUUUGUACACAGUUUAAUAACAAAAAGUUACUUUUAACAUUAACAUAACAUACUUUAAAAAAUUACCCAAGUUACCUCAAAAUCAACCCUGAAUUGAAAUAAAAAUACCAAAUUCAAAAUAUUUAAACAUAUAAAUAUAUAUGAUUAUCAAUGUUUGAUGAAAAUAUAUUAUCAGAUCUGUUUGUUUUUAGCCUAUUGUCUGUAAUGUCUGUCAAUGAGUUUCUUCUUAUAAACUUCUUUUGAUUCUUAGGCUCAGAUGUGAACGACUAAAACAUUUGCUUCCCCCAUUUUCUUUUCCUAUUAUAUAUAUAUUUUUUUAACACUUAACUUAGGUUGGAAACUUCUCUUAUCACAUUACUUGUUAAGGCUAGAGGCCAAAGUUUACUUCUUGCUAAUAUCAACAAUCUUUUACAACAAGAUUUUGAUGUGCUGCAACAAUCUGUUGACCAAUAUUUUCAUGAUUAGCUUUUGCAAACACUGCAGCUUGUAAACUUUUACUUAUGUCUAAAUAUGGAUGUCAUUUCUAUCCCUUUUUCUAUAUCUAUGAAAACUGACACGAAGUUUAUUUUGACGGAUUAUAAAUAUAUGUAAUGUAAAAACAUUUGCAACAACUGCUGCAUAUUUUUGGGCUGAGAAGUUUAUUUUGACUGAAUUAUAUCGCAAAACUGACAUGAAGUUUUACUAAGGAUUACUCACAUUAUGCCUUAUAUCAAUUUUCAAUUUAGAUGGUUGUAGUUUGAAGAUGAUCUAUUUUGGUACAAAUCAGUUGGAUUUUGUUGACAUUUAAUUUUUAAACUUUUUCAGGGUCAUUCUUCUGUAUCUGUUUCUGAGACGUAAGUAAGUUUUAUUAUUAAUUAAUUUUACAUUUAUGUUCUGUGUAUUGAAUCUAAUUUGAUAAAUCAAUGCAUCCAGGGAGCAAUUGAAAAAAUGAUCAGCCAUUCAGAUUGAUAAUUUUUGUAUCAGUUUGUUAGCAUCCUUAUCAAGUAUCAAAUGCCUAUCUGUUACUUCUUGUACACUGCAGGUUGGUUAUAUAAUUCCUUCUUGUUUGGGUUAUUCUGUCAAGAUUUACUUAGUAUUUGAAUUAAUUUUGUACAAAAAUAUUUUUUUGACUGCUUUUAACCAACACCUAAUUUUUUCUUCCCUAUUUUUGUACUAUGACGAUUGUUAAUAAAUUUAAUUAUUACUAUAAUAAUUAUAUGAAGUAAUAUAUAUGAAGUAAAAUUAUAUUGUAUACUAAAUAUGGUACAUAUACUUUAAUUCCUUGUGUUUUGACUUUUAGGAUAUAGUUCCAUGUGUCUAUAUUAGUGAAUUAAUGUUGUAUAUGUUUCAGUUACUGCUUCCUGCUCCUCCUGCAACUAUUGGUUCAACUGAAGCUGCCAUUUAAUCUUCGAAUUAAUAUUUGGUACUGAUAUAGAUAAAGUUUUCAUAUUUGCUUAAACUGAAAUAUAUUUGGUGCUACUCUUAUAAUCUUACAUGUGUCUGUAUUAGUGAAUUAAUGUUGUAUGUAUUUCAGUUACUGCUUCCUGCUCCUCCUGCAACUAUUGGUUCAACUGAAG
rnacentral:lncRNA from 1 species